UACGCAGGGGGCUAGCGUUGCUCGGAAUCACUGGGCGUAAAGGGUGCGUAGGCGGGUCUUUAAGUCAGGGGUGAAAUCCUGGAGCUCAACUCCAGAACUGCCUUCGAUACUGGCGAUCUCGAGUCCGGAAGAGGUGAGUGGAACUCCUAGUGUAGAGGUGGAAUUCGUAGAUAUUAGGAAGAACACCAGUGGCGAAGGCGACUCACUGGUCCGGUACUGACGCUGAGGUGCGAAAGCGUGGGGAGCAAACAGG
rnacentral:rRNA from 1 species